GGCGAGUUGCGGGAUGAUAAUAAUCGAGUGCCUGAUGAGAUAAAGAGGAAAUUUUGUAACGGAGUACCUCGAUGUUGGAGACACUGCUGUUCAGAGUGGACAAAGAAUAAAGGUGAGGAUAGUGCCACA